rnacentral:SRP_RNA from 1 species
GCCAGGCGCGGUGGUGCGUGCCUGUAGUCCCAGCUACUGGGGAGGCUGAGGCUGGAGGAUCUCUUGAGCCCAGGAGUUCUGGGCUGCAGCGUGCUAUGCUGAUCGGGUGUCCGCACUGAGUUCGGCAUCAAUAUGGUGACCUGCCGGGAGCGGGGGACCACCAGGUUGCCUAAGGAGGGAUGAUCCAGCCCAGGUCAGAAACGGAGCAGGUCAAAACUCCCAUGCUGAUCGGUAGUGGGAUCGCGCCUGUGAAUAGCCACUGCACUCCAUCCUGGGCAACAUAGCGAGACCUUGUCUCUA